GGGGAGACAAGCCGACGUGGCGACGGCGCCGGUCUCGAAAACCGCGUGAGCACCGGAAGGUGUCUUGGGGGUUCGACUCCCUCUCUCCCCG
rnacentral:tRNA from 1 species